GCACUGUUGAAGAGUCCCAUAAUAGGACGAAACGGCUGUCCAGUGC
rnacentral:hammerhead_ribozyme from 1 species